rnacentral:lncRNA from 1 species
AAAUUUGAUGGUCAUUGUUUUAAGUGCACGUUGUUAUGUUACUAAUACAAAAUUCUCAUUUAAUCUAUAAGUUUUUUGUUAUUAUUAUUUUAAAAAAAAUCAUAAAGUAUUGUUUUGGUAAAAAAAAAAAUAUUUUUGAAAUAAUUACUAUCUAUCAUAUUUACCAUUGAGUCUGUAGUAUCCCAUAUACACUUAAGUGUCC